ensembl:snRNA U6 U6 spliceosomal RNA
CCUAUACUAAAAUUAGAAUGAUACAGAGAUUAGCAUGGCCCCUGCACAAGGAUGACAUGCAAAUUCAUGAAGAAUUCCACAUGAAA